CCGUGUAUGUGUGCGUGUGUGUUUUUGACACCACUUUGCUCACGGAUCCCACGUCACCAUGACCUCCUAGAGUAGGACGUACAAGCUGAAGUCUUUGCGGCUAAAAGCAGAGCCUUAUACUAUGGUACAUCUAUAUGACCCUGGAUAAAACACAAACACAGGAUUGGUCGGUAGGUAGCUAAAACACAAACAUUGGUAAACAACAACGGGCUUGGUAGGUAGCUAAAACACAAACACUGGUAAACAACAACAGGCUUGGUCGGUAGGUAGCUAAAACACAAACACUGGUAAACAACAACGGGCUUGUUAGGUAGCUAAAACACAAACACUGGUAAACAACAACGGGCUUGUUAGGUAGCUAAAACACAAACACUGGUAAACAACAACAGGCUUGGUCGGUAGGUAGCUAAAACACAAACACUGGUAAACAACAACAGGCU
ensembl:lncRNA